UGGCUUGUAGUAAAGGUGGUGGUGGUUGUUGGGAUGGUGAUGGUUGUGAAAUAGUGGUGGGGGUAGCGUACGUAUUGUGGUUGUUGGGUGUGGUCGAGUGUUGGGGUGGUGAUGUGGUGAUGGUGGUAGUUGGGAGUGGUGUUGUGGUGGUGGUGGUGGGGGUGGUCGUAGUUAGAAUGGGGUAAGUGGUGGUGGUGAUGGUGAUGCUACGGUUGUUAGGGUUUAUAGGGAGAUGGCCGUGUGUGUGUGUGUGUGUGUGUGUGUGUGUGUGUGUUUGCACUCCUGUAAUCAACAAACUGCAGUCACUCGUUCGCUUGUUUCACCUCCGUGCUUCAGGCCUUCCUUCUCUCUGCUCCCCUCCCUCCCUUCGUCGCCUUCCUGCCACCCUUUCCCCGCUCUUCCUUUCCUGCUUUCCCCGGCUCCUCGUGUCCCAGGUGACCCAUGAACUAGCCCUAACAACUGUGAUGGAGAACAAGAAGUGGGCUGUAGGUGACGAGAUAACUAGUAGACUGCUGGCUGCCAGUGAGAUAAAUUGUUCUUUUUCCAAGGGUUGAGGAGAACAUGGUCGUGCUUCAAGUGAAGCCACUGCAGCCACUCCCUGACAAGUCUUCCACACUGACAGGCCCACUGGAAGCUGUCAGUCUGCUGCGGCACGUGGCAAGAACUAAACGUUGAGGAACACACAUUGUCCCUUCACCAGUCAGCAGGUUAUAAAAAACAGUCAGCAGGUCUGGGCGGCUCGGAAGUCUCACUACAAACUGGAGACCCGUUCACUUGAAGGACACAUUUGGAGUCGGACACAAGAUCCAAGAGGGAGUCAUUUUAAACGAGAGCUUCAGGCAGAAAAUUCGGGUGGAUUUUCGGCUCAAAAAAUGUCUUAAUUUUUUGGGAUAUUUUGAAUCCUUCUUUAUCUUGAAAAAUAACUACAGAUAUUAUAUGAUUCUAGCUGGAAGUUGACCUGAGCAAUGUAGGGUUUGCUGCAGUGAAAUUACCAAGGCACAAGUGUCCGGGAUUUAAAGAAGAUGAUGGUGGAAAUGUGUCCUGUCUGCUGCUGUGCUGGGAGAAGGAGAGGAACAGGAGAGGAACAGCAGCUGUGGUGGGGCUCUGCUGCUGCUGUCACUGGUGCAGCUGUUCACUCCUGCAGCUGUCUUCCCUCACCUGCAAUGAACAACUAUGAACAAUUCUUCUGCGAUGAAGAACAGUGAUAACACCUGCUUCAUUUCAUAUGGAUGUAACUCUCUCUCUCUCUCUCUCUCUCUCUCUCUCUCUCUCUCUCUCUCUCUCUCUCUCUCUCUCUCUCUCUCUCUCUCUCUCUAUCACCCGCUAUCACCUCAAACGCAGGCUGUGGUAGAGGCAUCCCCUGAGUUACCAACUAGGGAUUUUUUAAACAAACAUUUUCGUAAGCCAGACCUGCAAAAAAGAUGCCGUGAAUUGGGUCUUGCAAAUGUUUGGACAAGUAGCAAAAGCCAACUCAUUGAUAUGAUCAUUGAAAAGUCACGGCCACCUUCUAACGAUAUCGUGAAUGAUGAAGUGCACACACCACCCUCACCCAGCCACUCACCGCCUGCACCCCAUCGGACUAGACAGAGUCUUCCCUCUGACACCCCUCAGCAGGUUAACCUAGACCAUGGCGGGCUGGACAUACCCGAUAUCAGUAGAAAAAUCGGGAUAAUUAUGACCAAGCUAGAAAUUAAAGAUACUGAAAUUGACUUGCUGAAUACUGAAAUAAAAACUGCAUACCACACGAUCCAACAACUCCAGAACCGUAUCGCUGAGUUGGAACAGCAUCACUGUGGUAGUGAAGCACGUCAUCCCACACCAGGAACACGCUCUACACCUAACAACUGCCUCCUCCUUGGAGAUACGAAUUUACGAGCAAUUAUACGUUCCGAUCUCCAAAAUAAUUGCCAGAUAAGGACCAUCUUCGAAGCAAAUAUGGAUUUACUAAGAUGCUGGAUAAAUGAAAAAUUAAGUAAUAUUCCAUCUCAGUGUAUAUUAUACAACGGAAUCACAGAUAUACUUGAAGAGAAAUCACCACCAACAAUACUGAACAACUUAAGUUUGCUGAUUGCUGAAUUGAAGGAGAGAAACAAUGAAAUGAAAGUACAUGUCUGUCAGAUUGUGUCCCCUCCUGGUUCACAUGAAAUACAGGCAAAAGUACAAGAUUAUAAUGAACAACUACUUAAGUGGGGUGAAGCCAACAGCAUAAACAUAAUCAGAACGGCUCCUUCUUUUACACUGAGCACAGGUGAGAUAGAUGAUUUCUGUUUCGAGACGAAAAUCAGUCCAUAUCCCACGCUAAAUAGACUGGGAGCAGUCAAGUUGCUCAAUACCAUUAAAAGGGAAUGUCCAGACUUCCAUAUCUGCAAUAACUGGGAGGAAAUCAAGAAAAGUAUAAAUACACAAACUCCACAACGCAAUGCAAGAAAUAGAUACAUGGGUCACAAUAACCUCAGAUCAGUCAAUCAAGAAUCUGUCCAGAACGCUGGCUCUUGUGGCCGGCCAACCUAUGCAGAUAUGGUUUCCCUACGCUCUCACAGCAAAGCAACACAGAAAGGACAUCCAUAUACUCAAACGUCUUAUAGAGCUUCCCAUCAGUCUCUUACUGCUCCUAAACCACGAGAUCCUUUUCAUAUCACACCUGCUAAUAUAUUGGCAAGAGAACAUGAGGCAGACUGGAGCAGCGAAGAGGAUACACUCAGGCCCGAUCUGCCCGAUGCAGCCCCGAGGAGAACGCUGGAGGACAGACAUCAUACAGCCCAUUAUCAAGCUCGCAGCAAUACCCUACGACUGGAUAGACGGAAUAGAAACCACCCAGUGCAGAAAUACGCAAGUGCCCCGGUAUAUGAGUCUCAGGAAAUGUAUGGUUUCAGAAGGGAAAGAAACCGAUAUGCUAAUGAGCGUACCCCGGUGUCUGGAACACAGAACGUGCAUAGUGAUAACUCAUACGGUUACAGAAAUGAGAGAGAUAGAUAUGCUAAUGAGUGUACCCCGGUGUCUGAAACACAGAACGUGCAUAGUGAUAACUCAUACGGUUACAGAAACGAGAGAAAUAGAUAUGCUAAUCAGAGAAGUAAAACAGGGUGUUACAAUUGCGGCGAAUACAACCAUAUUCAAAGAAAUUGUAGGUUUGACCACAAACUCUUAUGUAGCAAUUGUCAACGUUUCGGUCAUAAGAGCCGCUUAUGUCAACAGUAUAGGGCAUAGGAUGAUGGCGAAGAAGCCUCUGCCGUUGUUGAAAUAAAGGAAUUUAGAAAAGAUUUACUAACGGUGGAACACAUUAACGCACAAUCACUAUUAUCGAGUUUGGACGAGGUGAAAUUAUUGAUAAUAGAUAGAAAAAUCGAUGUUUUAUGUGUGAGUGAAACAUGGCUUCAAGCAAACACCCCAGAUAGCUAUGUAGAAAUUCCUAAUUACAAGAUCUUUAGAUGUGACAAUGGCCGAGGAGCCGGGGUGUGCAUAUAUGUCCAUUGUGCCCUCAAUCCCUCUGUCAUUAAAUUAGAUGUACCAAGGACGACAGGCGUGGAGGAUGUGUGGGUAAAGAUGCAGUACAGGAAAUGGCCGGCCAUCAUCAUUGGUUGUGUAUAUAGACAUCCCAAGGCCUUAGCCACAUCAUUUGAUUACAUUCAAGACAUUUUUAGGAUGGUAUGUUUACGUGACAAAAGUGUCUUCAUCCUAGGAGAUUUUAAUGACGACAUAAUGACAAUGGGC